rnacentral:rRNA from 1 species
UACAGAGGGUGCAAGCGUUAAUCGGAAUACUGGGCGUAAAGCGUGCGCAGACGGUUGCGUAAGUCAGAUGUGAAAGCCCGGGCUCAACCCUGGGAAUUGCAUUUGAGACUGCGUAGCUAGGGUGCGGAAGAGGGAAGCGGAAUUUCCGGUGUAGCGGUGAAAUGCGUAGAUAUCGGAAGGAACACCAGUGGCGAAAGCGGCUUCCUGGUCCAGCACC